rnacentral:rRNA from 1 species
CAGUCGUACCUGCGGAUAAUCAGCCUUUAGGAUGCGAUUUUGUGGAGCGUGAGGGGCUAAUCGCCUUCAUGCCUAUAUAUUCGUGUACUUGGGGUGUACUUUUUCGUACGGUUAGUCAACAUCGGUUUUGAAUGUCAUAAAAUGACUGGAGGAAUGUAGCUUCGAUCUCGUAUUGAAGUGUUAUAGCCUUUGGUAGAUGUGAUGUUUGAGACCGAGGAUUGCAACGGAUACCCUUUAGGGCUAUUCGUCUGAUCUCUGAUACGUUGCCUUGAUGUUGAAGCUUGCUUAUGAUGUUAGGGUAUUACGGUCAAAGGUUAGGACGGAUUAGAUU